AACGAACGCUGGCGGCAGGCUUAACACAUGCAAGUCGAACGCCCCGCAAGGGGAGUGGCAGACGGGUGAGUAACGCGUGGGAACAUACCCUUUUCUACGGAAUAGCUCUGGGAAACUGGAAUUAAUACCGUAUACGCCCUACGGGGGAAAGAUUUAUCGGGGAAGGAUUGGCCCGCGUUGGAUUAGCUAGUUGGUGGGGUAAAGGCCUACCAAGGCGACGAUCCAUAGCUGGUCUGAGAGGAUGAUCAGCCACAUUGGGACUGAGACACGGCCCAAACUCCUACGGGAGGCAGCAGUGGGGAAUAUUGGACAAUGGGCGCAAGCCUGAUCCAGCCAUGCCGCGUGAGUGAUGAAGGCCUUAGGGUUGUAAAGCUCUUUCACCGAUGAAGAUAAUGACGGUAGUCGGAGAAGAGGCCCCGGCUAACUUCGUG
rnacentral:rRNA from 1 species